rnacentral:rRNA from 1 species
AGUGAACGCUGGCGGUAGGCCUAACACAUGCAAGUCGAACGGCAGCACAGUAAGAGCUUGCUCUUACGGGUGGCGAGUGGCGGACGGGUGAGGAAUACAUCGGAAUCUACUUUUUCGUGGGGGAUAACGUAGGGAAACUUACGCUAAUACCGCAUACGACCUACGGGUGAAAGCAGGGGAUCUUCGGACCUUGCGCGAUUGAAUGAGCCGAUGUCGGAUUAGCUAGUUGGCGGGGUAAAGGCCCACCAAGGGGACGAUCCGUAGCUGGUCUGAGAGGAUGAUCAGCCACACUGGAACUGAGACACGGUCCAGACUCCUACGGGAGGCAGCAGUGGGGAAUAUGGGACAAUGGGCGCAAGACUGAUCCAGCCAGACCGCGUGGGUGAAGAAGGCCUUCGGGUUGUAAAGCCCUUUUGUUGGGAAAGAAAAGCAGCAGGUUAAUACCCCGCUGUUCUGACGGUACCCAAAGAAUAAGCACCGGCUAACUUCGUG